rnacentral:lncRNA from 1 species
CUAUGUUACACUAAUGUUUUGCAGAUAAAAAUGAAGAAACAAAUUGUGACUAUAAAACAUUCGUUUGUUUAUGUGUUACAUAUUUGUUUUUCAUUCAAUUUUUUUAUAUAAAUAAGGCCGAUAGUUUUCUCGUUUGAAAUGUUUUACAUGGUCUUAUCGGGGCCUUUUAUAGCUGACUAUGCAUUAUGGGCUUUGCGAAUUGUUGAAGGCCGUACGGUGACCUAUAGUUGUUAAUGUGUGUGUCAUUUUGGUCUCUUGUGGACAGUUGUCUCAUUGGCAAUCAUACCACAUCUUCUUUUUUAUAUUAUUCAAUUAAUUUAGAGACUG